AUUAACGCUGGCAGUGUGUCUAAUACAUGCAAGUCGAGCGGCCCGCAAGGGCAGCGGCAAACGGGUGAGUAACACGUUGGUACCUUCCUCGAACUCAGGGAUACCUCCGAGAAAUCGGAGUUAAUACCGGAUGGUCCCGAAAGGGUAAAGAUUUAUCGGUUCGAGAGGGGCCUGCGGCCUAUCAGCUAGUUGGUAAGGUAACGGCUUACCAAGGCGAUGACGGGUAGCUGGUCUGAGAGGAUGAUCAGCCACAGGGGAACUGAGACACGGUCCCCACUCCUACGGGAGGCAGCAGUAGGGAAUCUUCCGCAAUGGACGAAAGUCUGACGGAGCAACACUGCGUGAAGGAUGAAGGCCGAAAGGUUGUAAACUUCUUUUCUGAGGGAAAAAUUCUGAUUGUACCUUAGGAAUAAGCGACUGCUAACUACGU
rnacentral:rRNA from 1 species